rnacentral:rRNA from 1 species
CGUAGGGUGCGAGCGUUAAUCGGAAUUACUGGGCGUAAAGCGUGCGCAGGCGGUUUUUUAAGACAGGCGUGAAAUCCCCGGGCUCAACCUGGGAACUGCGCUUGUGACUGGAAGGCUAGAGUACGGCAGAGGGGGGUGGAAUUCCACGUGUAGCAGUGAAAUGCGUAGAGAUGUGGAGGAACACCAAUGGCGAAGGCAGCCCCCUGGGUCGAUACUGACGCUCAUGCACGAAAGCGUGGGUAGCAAACAGGAUUAGAUACCCUGGUAGUCCACGCCCUAAACGAUGUCAACUAGGUGUUGGAUGGGUAAAACCAUUUAGUACCGGAGCUAACGCGUGAAGUUGACCGCCUGGGGAGUACGGCCGCAAGGUUA